rnacentral:rRNA from 1 species
GAUGACCUCUGGCGGCGUGCUUAACACAUGCAAGUCGAACGAAGCACUUUAUUUGAUUUCCUUCGGGACUGAUUAUUUUGUGACUGAGUGGCGGACGGGUGAGUAACGCGUGGGUAACCUGCCUUGUACAGGGGGAUAACAGUUGGAAACGGCUGCUAAUACCGCAUAAGCGCACAGCAUCGCAUGAUGCAGUGUGAAAAACUCCGGUGGUAUAAGAUGGACCCGCGUUGGAUUAGCUAGUUGGUGAGGUAACGGCCCACCAAGGCGACGAUCCAUAGCCGACCUGAGAGGGUGACCGGCCACAUUGGGACUGAGACACGGCCCAAACUCCUACGGGAGGCAGCAGUGGGGAAUAUUGCACAAUGGGCGAAAGCCUGAUGCAGCGACGCCGCGUGAGCGAAGAAGUAUUUCGGUAUGUAAAGCUCUAUCAGCAGGGAAGAUAAUGACGGUACCUGACUAAGAAGCACCGGCUAAAUACGUGCCAGCAGCCGCGGUAAUACGUAUGGGGCAAGCGUUAUCCGGAUUUACUGGGUGUAAAGGGAGCGCAGGCGGUGCGGCAAGUCUGAUGUGAAAGCCCGGGGCUCAACCCCGGUACUGCAUUGGAAACUGUCGUACUAGAGUGUCGGAGGGGUAAGCGGAAUUCCUAGUGUAGCGGUGAAAUGCGUAGAUAUUAGGAGGAACACCAGUGGCGAAGGCGGCUUACUGGACGAUAACUGACGCUGAGGCUCGAAAGCGUGGGGAGCAAACAGGAUUAGAUACCCUGGUAGUCCACGCCGUAAAC